AGUGAACGCUGGCGGCAGGCCUAACACAUGCAAGUCGAGCGGCAGCGCGUCCGACCACCCUCGGGUGGUCGGAUGGCGGCGAGCGGCGGACGGGUGAGGAAUGCAUCGGAAUCUGCCUCGUUGUGGGGGAUAACGUAGGGAAACUUACGCUAAUACCGCAUAAGCCCUGAGGGGGAAAGCAGGGGAUCGCAAGACCUUGCGCGAAUGGAGCGGCCGAUAUCAGAUUAGCUAGUUGGUGAGGUAAAGGCUCACCAAGGCGACGAUCUGUAGCGGGUCUGAGAGGAUGAUCCGCCACACUGGAACUGAGACACGGUCCAGACUCCUACGGGAGGCAGCAGUGGGGAAUUUUGGACAAUGGGCGCAAGCCUGAUCCAGCCAUGCCGCGUGAAGGAUGAAGGCCCUAUGGGUUGUAAACUUCUUUGUACGGGAAAAAACCUUCUUACGUGUAAGAAGCUGAUUGUACUGUAAGAAUAAGGAUCGGCUAACUCCGUG
rnacentral:rRNA from 1 species